UCAAGCUAAUAAGAGCGCAGGGAGGAUGCCUUGGCAUUGGGAGCCGACGAAGGACGUGGUAAGCUGCGAAAAGCUGCGGGGAAUUGCAAGCAAGUAUUGAUCCGCAGAUGUCCGAAUGGAGCAAUCCGUUAAGAGUAAUAUCUUAACAUCAUAUACUGAAUCAAUAGGUAUAUGAGGGGAACCGCCUGAACUGAAACAUCUAAGUAGGGCGAGGAAAAGAAAUCAACCGAGAUUCCGAAAGUAGUGGCGAGCGAAAUCGGAAGAGGCUAAACCGAACUCAGAAAUGAGAUCGGGGUUUAGGACUGCAUUUAGUAUUGAAAUGAGCGAGCAGAAUGCUUUGGGAAAAGCAGCCGAAGAACGUGAGAGCCGUGUAAGCGAAGUGAGUUUCAGCGAGCAGUAUCCAAAGUACCGCGGGGCACGUGAAAUCCCGUGGGAAGAUGGGGGGACCACCCUCCAAGCCUAAAUACUACCCAAUGACCGAUAGCGAAUAGUACUGUGAAGGAAAGGUGAAAAGCACCCCGGGAGGGGAGUGAAAAAGAACCUGAAACCCUGUGCUUACAAGCACUGAGAGCUCGUCAAAGAGUGAUCAGGUACCUAUUGUAGAAUGGUCCGGCGAGUUAUGAUAUGCAGCAAGGUUAAGUACUUAAGGUACGGAGCCGCAGCGAGAGCGAGUCUGAAUAGGGCGUAAAGUUGUAUGUCAUAGACCCGAAACCGAGUGACCUAGCCAUGUCCAGGCUGAAGUGGAGGUAAAACUCCAUGGAGGGCCGAACCGACCUCCGUUGAAAAGGCGGCGGAUGAGGUGUGGCUAGCGGAGAAAUUCCAAUCGAACUCGGAUAUAGCUGGUUCUCUCCGAAAUAGCUUUAGGGCUAGCGUUGCAACAGAUUACCGGAGGUAAAGCACUGAAUAGGCUAGGGGGCGAGAGCUUACUGAACCUUAUCAAACUAAGAAUGCCGGAUAAUUGAUUUGCAGCAGUCAGACAGUGUGAGAUAAGUUUCAUUGUCAAAAGGGAAACAGCCCAGACCUACAGCUAAGGUCCCAAAUGUAUGCUAAGUGGAAAACGAUGUGGAAUUGCGAAAACAACCAGGAUGUUGGCUUAGAAGCAGCCACACAUUAAAAGAGUGCGUAAUAGCUCACUGGUCGAGUGACUCUGCGCGGAAAAUGUAACGGGGCUAAGCAUGCAACCGAAGCUUAGGAUUGUCUAAAGACAGUGGUAGGGGAGCGUCGUGUACGGGGUGAAGUCGCAGCGGAAGCAGCGGUGGACUGUACAGGAGUGAGAAUGCCGGAAUGAGUAGCGAGAAUUAUGUGGGAAUCAUAAUGGCCGAAAAUCUAAGGUUUCUUGGGGAAGGUUCGUCCGCCCAAGGUAAGCCGGGAGCUAAGGCGAGGCCGAGAGGCGUAGUCGAUGCACAUACGGUAGAAAUUCCGUAGCCACCGAACUUUAAACCAGAAGGACACUUUCAGAUAGCGGGACCCAGCCGUUGGUAGAGCUGGGCGCAAGGGACCGAAAUAUAGUAGGGAAGUCCGCGAUGCUCGGAGGCGAGAAAAGCUCAUGUGUAUACUAAGGUGCCCGUACCGCAAACCGACACAGGUAGAUGAGGAGAGAAUCCUAAGGCCAACGGGAGAAGGGUUGUUAAGGAACUCGGCAAAUUGACCCCGUAACUUCGGGAGAAGGGGUGCUCCAGAGAUGGAGCCGCAGAGAAUCGGCCCAAGCAACUGUUUACCAAAAACACAGGUUUGUGCUAAAUCGAAAGAUGACGUAUACGAGCUGACGCCUGCCCGGUGCUGGAAGGUUAAGAGGAGAUGUGCAAGCAUUGAAUCGAAGCCCCAGUGAACGGCGGCCGUAACUAUAACGGUCCUAAGGUAGCGAAAUUCCUUGUCAGGUAAG
rnacentral:rRNA from 1 species